UUAUAAAGCUAGGCACUUUAUGGAGUUAACAAAGUGGUCUGUUGCGGAUAUCAGAUAUAUGAUUUUUUGGUGUUAUAAAACAAAGCAUUUGGGUGUUUUAGGGUUUUUUGGUGCUUGUCCUUGUUUGUUGAUUUUUUUUUUUUCUAUGAAGAUCUGGCAACACUGAAACUUUACCGCAGGGCUCGUGAACACAACUAUCCCCGAGUCAAAAUUGUGCUAAAGUAGUGCUAAAGUC